rnacentral:rRNA from 1 species
AAGCUCGUAGUUGGAUUUCUGUUAGUGUCUUAUAUCUUGUACUUUAUUGUACUUGUAUAGUACUAACAUAAUUCAUAUUACUUUUUAGUAUUAUGAAAUUUUACUUUGAGAAAAUUAGAGUGCUUAAAGCAGGCUUUUGCCUUGAAUACUCCAGCAUGGAAUAAUACGAAGGAUUUUUAUCUUUCUUAUUGGUUCUAAGAUAAAAAUAAUGGUUAAUAGGAACAGUUGGGGGCAUUUGUAUUUAACAGUCAGAGGUGAAAUUCUUAGAUUUGUUAAAGACAAACUAAUGCGAAAGCAUUUGCCAAGGAUGUUUUCAUUAAUCAAGAACGAAAGUUAGGGGAUCGAAGACGAUCAGAUACCGUCGUAGUCUUAACCAUAAACUAUGCCAACUAGAGAUUGGAGGUUGUUCCUUACUCCUUCAGCACCUUA